rnacentral:lncRNA from 1 species
CUAUUCCAGUGCUUGGCAUAAGAGUUAGUGCUUUUGGAGCCUAUGACAGACUUCUUGGCUUGCAGAGGAUGAAAAGAUGGCUGGGCAGGAGCACGGUGAAUAGGCUGCGGGACCAGGCGGGACAGAAACUUCCAUCUACAGUGAGUUGCCAUAUGUGUGCUGUGAAUCCAACCUGGGUCCUCUUAACUGGAACCCUUCCAUGGAGCUUGUCCCCAGCCACCUCUGUUUUCCCACAAUUUCCACAGCACAGGCAGUUCUACAAACUUCCGAUCUUUGCCAAAUUGGAAAAAUGGAAGAAGCCACUCCCUCUUCCUGUCAUUCAACAUUUCUUUGGCUCCGGGAUUCCAGAAGUCUGGGCUAGGGAGAUAGCCCGUCCUUCCGUUAGAAGAUAAAAGACUCUGAGGCAGUCUGUCCUACCCUAAGCCGUGGAGCCAUGAGCAGAACCAAUAUGUGGAUACUGGUGUGUCUGGCAGGAAUGGAUAUCAUCUCCAUGGCAACUCCAAGCGUCAAGACUCCUGACUAUGCAGUCGGGGCAGUGAUAAAGGAGCUGAUCCUUGCUGAGUCACCUUCCACACCUACCCUACUCUCUGGACUCCGGCUUCACAUAUUUUGUUCUCACCCUUGAACCUGCCAAGCUCCCCCUGCCUUAGCGCCUCUGCCCUGUGGUCCUAUCUUUCUAGACCUCUCUUCCCAAGACCCACAUUCGAAGUAUACACCUUCCCCGCCCUCCCCCACCCCACCCCCGUCUCUCACGGUUUGGCCUGCUCUUUUAGGUGUUGAGUGUUGCCUGCCCCUCCUGCUAAUCUCUAAGACCCAUUUAUGCCUCACACAAGUCCAGGAGCUGAAGGUUUAGAAGAUGGAGUUGAAUGCAGUGCCUGGUGGAUCCUGAGUCUCCUGUAACUCCGAACUGUUGCUUGUCACCCUGUAAGCUCCAGUGGCCAUCGCUGUUGUAUCUGGAGGGAACAACCUCACCUGGCAGCUCCUGGAGAAGUAUGGGGUGGUGUGCCAAACAGGGAUGUUGGAGAAGCAGAAGGAGUGAGUGGAGCAGGCUGCCACAGCCGGAAAGAGGUCUCAGGCUGUUUUCUGUGGCUAUAACUGAACAAUAUAGACUGAGUUGUUUGCAAUGAGGAGAUUAUUGUGUGGUUUGGGCUUGGAGCCUGCGAAGUCUCAGGGCAUGGCACUGCACUGUG